GCGCGGGAUCGAUUAGCCAUGCUAGUUGCGCGAGUUCAGACUCGCAGCAGAUAGCUCAGUAACACGUGGUCAAGCUACCCUGCAGACACGGACAACCUCGGGAAACUGAGGCUAAUCCGCGAUACCGAUCCCACGCUGGAAUGCCGGGAUCUACAAACGCUCCGGCGCUGCAGGAUGCGGCUGCGGCCGAUUAGGUAGACGGUGGGGUAACGGCCCACCGUGCCGAUAAUCGGUACGGGUUGUGAGAGCAAGAGCCCGGAGACGGAAUCUGAGACAAGAUUCCGGGCCCUACGGGGCGCAGCAGGCGCGAAACCUUUACACUGCACGCAAGUGCGAUAAGGGGACUCCGAGUGCGAGGGCAUAUAGUCCUCGCUUUUGAGAACCGUAAGGUGGUUCUCGAAUAAGAGCUGGGCAAGACCGGUGCCAGCCGCCGCGGUAAUACCGGCAGCUCAAGUGAUGGCCAAUCUUAUUGGGCCUAAAGCGUCCGUAGCUGGCCGUGAAAGUUCGUCGGGAAAUCCAUCCGCUCAACGGAUGGGCGUCCGGCGAAAACUUCACGGCUUGGGACCGGAAGGCUCGAGGGGUACGUCCGGGGUAGGAGUGAAAUCCUGUAAUCCUGGACGGACCGCCGAUGGCGAAAGCACCUCGAGAAGACGGAUCCGACAGUGAGGGACGAAAGCUAGGGUCUCGAACCGGAUUAGAU
rnacentral:rRNA from 1 species